rnacentral:rRNA from 1 species
CACGGGGGGCCUACGGGAGGCAGCAGUGGGGAAUAUUGCACAAUGGGCGCAAGCCUGAUGCAGCCAUGCCGCGUGUGUGAAGAAGGCUCUAGGGUUGUAAAGCACUUUCAGUCGGGAGGAAAGGUUAGUAGUUAAUACCUGCUAGCUGUGACGUUACCGACAGAAGAAGGACCGGCUAACUCCGUGCCAGCAGCCGCGGUAAUACGGAGGGUCCGAGCGUUAAUCGGAAUUACUGGGCGUAAAGCGUACGUAGGUGGUUUGUUAAGUUGGAUGUGAAAGCCCAGGGCUCAACCUUGGAACUGCAUUCAAAACUGAUGAACUAGAGUAUGGUAGAGGUAAGUGGAAUUUCCUGUGUAGCGGUGAAAUGCGUAGAGAUGGGAAGGAACAUCAGUGGCGAAGGCGACUUACUGGACCAAUACUGACACUGAGGUACGAAAGCGUGGGUAGCAAACAGGAUUAGAUACCCUGGUAGUCCACGCCGUAAACGAUGUCUACUAGCCGUUGGGAUCC